rnacentral:rRNA from 1 species
GUCCACGCCGUAAACGAUGGAUACUAGCUGUUGGGAGCGAUCUCAGUGGCUAAGCGAAAGUGAUAAGUAUCCCACCUGGGGAGUACGCACGCAAGUGUGAAACUCAAAGGAAUUGACGGGGGGCCCGCACAAGCGGUGGAGCAUGUGGUUUAAUUCGAUGAUACGCGAGGAACCUUACCAGGGCUUAAAUGUAGAUUGACAGGACUGGAAACAGUUUUUUCUUCGGACAAUUUACAAGGUGCUGCAUGGUUGUCGU